UACAGAGGUCUCAAGCGUUGUUCGGAUUCAUUGGGCGUAAAGGGUGUGUAGGUGGCGCGCUAAGUCGGGUGUGAAAUUUCGGAGCUUAACUCCGAAACUGCAUUCGAUACUGGCGUGCUUGAGGACUGGAGAGGAGACUGGAAUUCAUGGUGUAGCAGUGAAAUGCGUAGAGAUCAUGAGGAAGACCAGUGGCGAAGGCGGGUCUCUGGACAGUUCCUGACACUGAGGCACGAAGGCUAGGGGAGCAAACGGG
rnacentral:rRNA from 1 species